rnacentral:rRNA from 1 species
GAUGAACGCUGGCGGCGUGCCUAAUACAUGCAAGUCGAGCGAACAGACGAGGAGCUUGCUCCUCUGACGUUAGCGGCGGACGGGUGAGUAACACGUGGAUAACCUACCUAUAAGACUGGGAUAACUUCGGGAAACCGGAGCUAAUACCGGAUAAUAUAUUGAACCGCAUGGUUCAAUAGUGAAAGACGGUUUUGCUGUCACUUAUAGAUGGAUCCGCGCCGCAUUAGCUAGUUGGUAAGGUAACGGCUUACCAAGGCGACGAUGCGUAGCCGACCUGAGAGGGUGAUCGGCCACACUGGAACUGAGACACGAUCCAGCCUCCUAAGAGAGGCAGCAGUAGGGAAUCUUACGCAAUGGGCGCAAGCCUGACGGAGCAACGCCGCGUGAGUGAUGAAGGUCUUCGGAUCGUAAGACUCUGUUAUUAGGGAAGAACAAAUGUGUAAGUAAAUAUGCACGUCUUGACGGUACCUAAUCAGAAAGCCACGGCUAACUACGUG